CAUCAAAAAUAACAGAUUUAGGAACUUCCUUUACUUCCAAACUAAUGAAGAGACUAUGCCAGAUUCCGAUGGGCCAUCUGUGUCCGUUCGUCUUCUAAAUUGCUGUCCUCCUUGAGGGAAGAAGUGGUACAUUGUUUAUGUAAAUGAAACCAAACUGCUAUCUCCUUGUGAUUCUGAAGAAGGCCAUUUGCUGAAAAGCGUCAAGCUUUUAAAAAAAGAAUAAAGUUUGUCACUUCUUUUUUUACAUCCUGAGACCCAGUCUCUCACUUGGAAUUCUGCCACUAGUGGAUGUAUCAGUUCCUUGUUUUCUGCAUAGCAACAGAACCACAGAAAAUUCCUCCACAACCAUAUCACCAGCAUCAGACUGCUUAUACAUCACAGAUACCCAGUUUCCAGGGAUUCUGGAAGAUUUAAAAAACACAAUCUUGUGGGGCCUUGAAGACUAACAAUGUAUUACAGCAGCUUGAGUCUUCAUGGACUUCACUUAUCUCAUUAAGUGCUAUUUUGUAACUUCCAUACAGAUAUGUAUAUUAUAUGCUCUGCAGCAAAAUUUUGUGCAGCAGCAAUGGCACAGCGUUCCCUUAUAGUCUC